rnacentral:rRNA from 1 species
GAUGAACGCUGGCGGCGUGCCUAAUACAUGCAAGUCGAACGAACAGAUAAGGCGUUUGCUCCUUUGACGUUAGCGGCGGACGUGUGUGUAACACGUGUAUAACCUACCUAUCAUUCUGGGAUAACUUCGGGAAACCGGAGCUUAUACCGGAUAACAUAUUGAACCGUAUGGUUCAUUAGUGAAAUGCGGCUUUGCUGUCACUACUCGAUGGUUCCGCGCCGUAUUAGCUAGUUGGUAAGGUCACGGCCUACCAAGGCUACGAUACGUUGCCGACCUAGUAGGGUGAUCGGCCACACUGGAACUGAGACACCGCCCUGGGUCCUGCGGGAGGCAGCAGUAGGGAAUGUUCCGCAGUAGGCGAGAGCCUGACGGAGCAACGCCACGUGAGAUGUAAAGGUCCUGGGUUCGUAAAGCUCUCUUACCGGGGAAAAACAAAUGUGUCAGUAGAUGAACAGAUCGUGACGGUACCUGGUCAGAAAGCACCGGCUAACUACGUG